UUACCUACGGGAGGCAGCAGUGAGGAAUAUUGGUCAAUGGGAGAGAUCCUGAACCAGCCAAGCCGCGUGAGGGAAGACGGCCCUAUGGGUUGUAAACUUCUUUUAUAAAGGAAUAAAGUGAGGCACGUGUGCCUUUUUGUAUGUACUUUAUGAAUAAGGAUCGGCUAACUCCGUGCCAGCAGCCGCGGUAAUACGGAGGAUCCGAGCGUUAUCCGGAUUUAUUGGGUUUAAAGGGAGCGUAGAUGGGUUGUUAAGUCAGUUGUGAAAGUUUGCGGCUCAACCGUAAAAUUGCAAUUGAUACUGGC
rnacentral:rRNA from 1 species